UGGGGAAUAUUGGACAAUGGGGGCAACCCUGAUCCAGCAAUGCCGCGUGUGUGAUGAAGGCCCUAGGGUUGUAAAGCACUUUCACUGGUGAAGAUGAUGACGGUAACCAGAGAAGAAGCCCCGGCUAACUUCGUGCCAGCAGCCGCGGUAAUACGAAGGGGGCGAGCGUUGUUCGGAAUUACUGGGCGUAAAGGGCGCGUAGGCGGCUCUUUAAGUUAGGCGUGAAAGCCCCGGGCUCAACCUGGGAACUGCGCUUAAGACUGGAGAGCUAGAAAACGGAAGAGGGUAGUGGAAUUCCCAGUGUAGAGGUGAAAUUCGUAGAUAUUGGGAAGAACACCAGUGGCGAAAGCGGCUACCUGGUCCGGAUUUGACGCUGAGGCGCGAAAGCGUGGGGAGCAAACAGG
rnacentral:rRNA from 1 species